AUAAAUAAAUUAUUAAGAGCACUUGAUGGAUGCCUUGGCGUUAAGAGGCGAUGAAGGACGUGGCAGGCUGCGAUAAGCUGUGGGGAAUUGUCAACAAAUUUUGAUCCGCAGAUUUCCGAAUGGGGAAACCCAACUAGCUUAGCUAGUUAUUACAUACUAAGUAUGUAAAGCAAACUUGGUGAACUGAAAUAUCUAAGUAGCCAAAGGAAAAGAAAUCAACCGAGAUUCUGUUAGUAGUGACGAGCGAAAGCGGAAAAGGCUAGUGAUUUAAGAAUAAGAAUUAGAAUACUCUGGAAAUAGUAACCAUAGAAGGUGAUAGUCCUGUAUAAGUAGAAAGUUUUUAAAUCCUUGAGUAGAGCGGGGCACGUGAAAUCCUGUUUGAAUAUGGGGGGACCAUCCUCCAAGCCUAAAUACUACUUAACGACCGAUAGUGAACAAGUACCGUGAGGGAAAGGUGAAAAGAACCCCGGGAGGGGAGUGAAAUAGAAUCUGAAAUCAAGUGCUUACAAACAGUUGGAGCUCUAUAUCAAUUUAUUGAUAUUUAGAGUGACAGCGUACCUUUUGCAUAAUGGGUCAGCGAGUUAAUCUAUGAAGCAAGCUUAAGCCGUUAGGUGUAGGCGUAGCGAAAGCAAGUCUGAAUAGGGCGUUUUAGUUUUAUGGAUUAGACCCGAAACCAAGUGAUCUAGUCAUGACCAGAUUGAAGGUGUGGUAAAACACACUGGAGGAUCGAACCAGUUAAUGUUGCAACAUUAUUGGAUGAGUUGUGAUUAGGGGUGAAAGGCCAAUCAAACUUGGAAAUAGCUGGUUCUCCGCGAAAUCUAUUUAGGUAGAGCGUUGUAUGUAUGUUGUUGGGGGUAGAGCACUGGAUAGACUAGGGGGAUUCACCGUCUUACCAAAUCUAACUAAACUCCGAAUACCAACAAUUAAUUAUACAGCAGGCACACUACGGGUGCUAAGUCCGUGGUGGAAAGGGAAACAACCCAGAUCACUAUCUAAGGUCCCAAAAUUACAGCUAAGUGGGGAAGGAAGUAGAAAAACCAUUACAGCUAGGAGGUUGGCUUGGAAGCAGCCAUCCUUUAAAGAAAGCGUAACAGCUCACUUGUCUAAAUAAGUUUUUCUGCGCCGAAAAUGUACCGGGGCUAAAGCUGUAUACCGAAGAUGUGAGUGCUUAUUGAUUUCGAUCAAUAGGCGCGGUAGCGGAGCGUUCCGUAAGUCUAUGAAGGUGGUUUGUGAAAACUGCUGGAGAUAUCGGAAGUGAGAAUGCUGACAUAAGUAGCGUAAAAGAGUGUGAAAAACACUCUCACCAAAAAUCUAAGGGUUCCUACGUUAAGUUAAUCUGCGUAGGGUUAGUCGGUUCCUAAGGCGAGGCCGUAAAGGAGGAGGCGAUGGCAAUUAGGUUAAUAUUCCUAAACCUCUUUAGUG
rnacentral:rRNA from 1 species